AGUAAAGAAAUGACUUAUGGAUUUUAGUGGUUAAACAGACUAUGGGGCUUGCGAGGGCGAUGAUCAAGCAUAGUUUAGAAGUAGAGGGCUUACUUGAUGCAGUGGACAUUGUUGGAAUAGGUGGUGAUGGAGCAAACACAGUUAACAUUUCGACUGGAGCUUCAAUACUUGCUGCAGCUUGUGGUACCAAAAUUGCAAAGCAAGGAAAUCGUUCAAGUUCUUCAGCAUGUGGAAGUGUCGAUGUAUUAGAAUAGUUGGGGAUAGUUAUCGACCUGGAACCUGAGGCAGAUGUAGAUAACAGUGGAACAAUUGAUUAUGGAGAGUUUGUAGCAGCCACUUUGCAUUUAAACAAAAUUGAGAGAGAAGAUCAU